UCUUCCAUCUUCCCAGUCAUUGCCUCCAGUUUCCUGUGGACUUCGGGGAUGGUUCAACCGCAGUGCUGCUCACCUACACAAACCUGGCCGGCUCAUGGGAUGGUUUGGAUGGAGUCUCCCUCUUCUCUUCUCUUCCUGAUGAUGGGUGAAUCUCAGGACCCCCGAGUCCCUUCUCCACAGAACGCACACUGUGCCCCGCAGGGACUGGAUGCGACCCCAGGGACUGAGCGGUACCGCUGAGCUUCCAAUAUCCCAGAGGCCACAGCUGUGCAGCUGCCACCAACGAUGCUAAAGUCACGCCUUCUUCUGGGAGGAUUAAGAAAUCCUUCUCUGCUCUUUCCAAAACCCCUCAAAGAAGUAAAGGGCAAUUCUCCUGAAGCUUAUGAUGCUUCGAAUCACAGCAGCCACUUUGUAACCAUGAGGAAUGGUGGACAAGGACCAAAGGAAUCCAUGUGGAAAUAAGGGGUGUGCCCGGGCCCCUUCUGACCUCGAAAAGGACUGGACUCUGUGCUAUGGCUUUCAUUUCUGGGGCAAGAAUCAAAACCAAAGGCCAUGAAGCCAGACUGCAAAGCAGCUCCACUCUCCUGUGACAGCAAGACCUCUGGGAACCUCAGGGUGCUUUCAGGGCCCCAGUGCAAACCUUCCAUAAAAAUGGUCUUUGCCUCUCCCUCCUGACUCCAGGGCGACAGGACGCCUUCUGAAGCUACCUGUCUGGUGACGUCAGGAUGCUUAGGAGGUGAGAAUACUGCAUCUCUGGGGAAACCAGACACUGAUGAGAACUUUUUUAAAAAGAUCAGACAAAGGC
rnacentral:lncRNA from 1 species